rnacentral:rRNA from 1 species
AAAACGACUAAGCAUCUUGCUUCUUAUGUUUAUUAUGCUGCACCGCGGUAAAACGAAGAGUACCUUAAAGACAUGCUUUGCCCUCAAAAGAAGAAAGAUGCACUGUCCUUACCCUCAUCAGUGUGAGAGUGGACUUAAGUUCACACGAGUACGAACACCUUGACAACAAGACAACAGCCAGAGGUCCCCCCGUAUAUGACACAGCACACGUGACUUCAGUAUGAUGCACAACUCCUUCUAGUGGCUUGCCUGGUGGAUGAGCAGUCGUAUACGGUGGCCCGGGACGGUGACAUCGAAGCUGAAGUGUCGACGAACCAAG